rnacentral:rRNA from 1 species
GCUACGGGAGGCAGCAGUGAGGAAUAUUGGUCAAUGGACGAGAGUCUGAACCAGCCAAGUAGCGUGAAGGAUGACUGCCCUAUGGGUUGUAAACUUCUUUUAUAUGGAAAUAAAAUGUUCCACGUGUGGGAUUUUGUAUGUACCAUAUGAAUAAGGAUCGGCUAACUCAGUGCCAGCAGCCGCGGUAAUACGGAGGCUCCGAUCGUUAUCCGGAUUUAUUGGGUUUAAAGGGAACGUAGGUGGAUUGUUAAGUCAGUUGUGAAAGUUUGCGGCUCAACCGUAAAAUUGCAGUUGAAACUGGCAGUCUUGAGUACAGUAGAGGUGGGCGGAAUUCGUGGUGUAGCGGUGAAAUGCUUAGAUAGCACGAAGAACUCCGAUGGCGAAGGCAGUUCACUGGACUGCAACUGACAUUGAUGCUCGAAAGUGUGGGUAUCAAACAGGAUUAGAUACCCCAGUAGUC